rnacentral:rRNA from 1 species
UAUUGGUCAAUAGCCUAACGGCUGAACCAGCAACUUGGAGGAAUGUAUAGGGAAAACUGGUAAAAUGUGAUGUACCUAGUAAUAUUAGUAAUAAAUAUGAGAUUAACUAAGUUAAUUAAAAUUCUAAGUAGAUAUGUGAUUAUGACAAUAUCUGCAUAGGUCUUGACCAAGUCACGUGCCAGCAGUCGCGGUAAUACGUGGAAGACGAGCGUUAUUCAUCUUUAUUGGGUUUAAAGGGUACCUAGACAGUUAAUAAAGCAAUAAAAUGUACUAAUUAACUAGAGUUUAAUGUAAGAAGGAUUGAGUACGGUGAGAGUAGAGAUAAAAUUUUUUGAUACCACUUAGGAACUGGUAACAGCGAAGGCUACCUUCAA